rnacentral:rRNA from 1 species
AUUGAACGCUGGCGGCAUGCCUUACACAUGCAAGUCGAACGGUAACAGGUCUUCGGAUGCCGACGAGUGGCGAACGGGUGAGUAAUACAUCGGAACGUGCCUAGUAGUGGGGGAUAACUACUCGAAAGAGUGGCUAAUACCGCAUGAGAUCUACGGAUGAAAGCAGGGGAUCGCAGGACCUUGCGCUACUAGAGCGGCCGAUGGCAGAUUAGGUAGUUGGUGGGAUAAAAGCUUACCAAGCCGACGAUCUGUAGCUGGUCUGAGAGGACGAUCAGCCACACUGGGACUGAGACACGGCCCAGACUCCUACGGGAGGCAGCAGUGGGGAAUUUUGGACAAUGGGCGAAAGCCUGAUCCAGCAAUGCCGCGUGCAGGAUGAAGGCCUUCGGGUUGUAAACUGCUUUUGUACGGAACGAAAAGCCCCGGGUUAAUACCCUGGGGUCAUGACGGUACCGUAAGAAUAAGCACCGGCUAACUACGUGCCAGCCGCCGCAGUAA